CUCGACUUCCGUAUGGACGAGUGGGGGGUGGACGUGGCACUGACGGGAUCUCAGAAGGCCCUCUCGCUGCCCACUGGGAUGGGCAUCGUUUGCGCCAGCCCCAAGGCGCUGGAGGCUUCCAAGACCGCUAAGUCGGUAAGAGUGUUUUUCGACUGGAACGACUACCUCAAGUUCUACAAGAUGGGGACUUACUGGCCGUACACCCCGUCCAUUCAACUGCUUUAUGGGCUUCGAGCUGCUCUGGACCUCAUAUUCGAGGAGGGCCUCGAGAACGUGAUCCGGAGGCACAGCCGCCUGGGGACGGCAACAAGGUCAGUCAUCCUCGCUCCCCCAUAUCCUACCUAUUCAAGGCGGAUCAUUGUUCGAACCGUUGACUUUUUAUGUAUACAAACAGAGAUUAUGGGGAGACGACUAUUUAGGCUCCGUGCCUACCCCCCCGUCAUUGUAGGAGGAUUUUUCUUUGUCGAAGGUGUUGACUUUUUCGGGCGAACAAUAGAAAAUAAUUUAUUUCUGAUGGAUGAUAAGCUGUGUGCGCGUAGGCU
rnacentral:lncRNA from 1 species